AUUGAACGCUGGCGGCAGGCCUAACACAUGCAAGUCGAGCGGAUGAAGGGAGCUUGCUCCUGGAUUCAGCGGCGGACGGGUGAGUAAUGCCUAGGAAUCUGCCUGGUAGUGGGGGAUAACGUCCGGAAACGGGCGCUAAUACCGCAUACGUCCUGAGGGAGAAAGUGGGGGAUCUUCGGACCUCACGCUAUCAGAUGAGCCUAGGUCGGAUUAGCUAGUUGGUGGGGUAAAGGCCUACCAAGGCGACGAUCCGUAACUGGUCUGAGAGGAUGAUCAGUCACACGGGAACUGAGACAAGGUCCAGAAUCCUAAGGGAGGCAGCAGUGGGGAAUAUUGGACAAUGGGCGAAAGCCUGAUCCAGCCAUGCCGCGUGUGUGAAGAAGGUAUUCGGAUUGUAAAGCACUUUAAGUUGGGAGGAAGGGAAGUAAGUUAAUACCUUGCUGUUUUGACGUUACCAACAGAAUAAGAACCGGCUAACUUCGUG
rnacentral:rRNA from 1 species